rnacentral:rRNA from 1 species
CCUACGGGAGGCAGCAGUAGGGAAUCUUUCACAAUGGGCGAAAGCCUGAUGGAGCAACGCCGCGUGCAGGAUGAAGGCCUUCGGGUUGUAAACUGCUUUUAUAAUCGAGAAAUAUGAUGGUAACUUAUGAAUAAGGAUCGGCUAACUACGUGCCAGCAGCCGCGGUCAUACGUAGGAUCCGAGCAUUAUCCGGAGUGACUGGGUGUAAAGAGUUGCGUAGGUGGCAUAAUAAGUAGCUAGUGAAAUCUGGUGGCUCAACCAUUCAGACUAUUAGCUAAACUGUUAAGCUCGAGACCGUUAGGGGUAACUGGAAUUUCUAGUGUAGGAGUGAAAUCCGUAGAUAUUAGAAGGAACACCAAUAGCGUAGGCAGGUUGCUGGGACGGUUCUGACACUAAGGCACGAAAGCGUAGGGAGCAAACGGGAUUAGAUACCCCAGUAGUC